rnacentral:rRNA from 1 species
CCUACGGGUGGCAGCAGUGGGGAAUAUUGCACAAUGGGGGAAACCCUGAUGCAGCGACGCCGCGUGAGUGAAGAAGUAAUUCGUGAUGUAAAGCUCUAUCAGCAGGGAAGAAAAUGCCGGUACCUGAGUACGCAGCCACUGCUAACGACGUGCCAGCAGCCGCGGUAAUACGUAGGGGCCGAGCGGUAUCCGGAUUUGCUGGGUGUAAAGGGAGCGUAGGCCGGCUUUUAAGUCAGACGUGAAAGUCCGCGGCUCAAACGUGGAAUUGCAGGUGAAACUGGAGCCCUUGAGUGUACACAGGGAUGGCGGAAUUCAUGGUGUAGCGGUGAAAUGCUUAGAUAUCAUGAAGAACCCCGAGCGCGAAGGCAAGUGUCCGGGGUGCAACUGACGCUGAGGCUCGAAAGUGCGGGUAUCAAACAGGAUUAGAUACCCCAGUAGUC